rnacentral:rRNA from 4 species
ACAGAUGGGCCCGCGGUGCAUUAGCUAGUUGGUGAGGUAACGGCUCACCAAGGCAACGAUGCAUAGCCGACCUGAGAGGGUGAUCGGCCACAUUGGGACUGAGACACGGCCCAGACUCCUACGGGAGGCAGCAGUAGGGAAUCUUCCGCAAUGGACGAAAGUCUGACGGAGCAACGCCGCGUGAGUGAUGAAGGCUUUCGGGUCGUAAAACUCUGUUGUUAGGGAAGAACACGUACAAGAGUAACUGCUUGUACCUUGACGGUACCUAACCAGAAAGCCCCGGCUAACUACGUGCCAGCAGCCGCGGUAAUACGUAGGUGGCAAGCGUUAUCCGGAAUUAUUGGGCGUAAAGCGCGCGCAGGCGGUUUCUUAAGUCUGAUGUGAAAGCCCACGGCUCAACCGUGGAGGGUCAUUGGAAACUGGGGAACUUGAGUGCAGAAGAGAAAAGCGGAAUUCCACGUGUAGCGGUGAAAUGCGUAGAGAUGUGGAGGAACACCAGUGGCGAAGGCGGCUCUUUGGUCUGUCACUGAC